GUGUGACAUAAACAGAUAUGAUAGAUGACCCAUAGUUUAUUUGAAAAUACAUUUUUGCUUUGGUUUUUUUGGUCAGUCAAGGUACAAUAACCAGAUGAAAUACAAGUGCAAAAGCAAAUAAGGAUAGAGACAGCAAGAAAAUGUGGGUAGGUGUGUGUCAACCUAUGCGUCUCAGAGCGACAGCUAAGAUUUAUCGUUUGACUGAAUCAAAUUGUUUAAUUUUUGCAAGGCCGUUGUUCCAUGCAGAUCGCUGGAAGAGGAGCUUAGAGAGGGAUUGCUUGAUGUCUGUGUAUAUCAAAACGGCAUGAACUGUUAUCUAAAGCACAUGUGAAAACAAAAUCCUGAGAUCAGGACAAUCAGCAUUAAUUAAACAGCCAGCUUCAAUUUUAUUGUGAGAUUCAAUUCAAAUAAGUUUAUUUACAAAGAACCUUUGAGCCAUUCUUCAUCUUUCAUUUGCUUUCAUCGCAAAUAUAUAUAAAUAAAUUGUGAAUUAUACAACAUUAAAAAAUUAUUUUAAUGCAUCACAGCACAAUUUGGUUGGUAUCAACCAAAGUUUUGGUUCAUAAUGUUUUUAAAUGUAAACACAUCUUUUAAUACAAACAAGUAUAACAUUUCACAAAAACAGAUCCACAAAUAUAUAUGUUCAUAAGUACUAUAUGUUACAUUGUAAAUGGUUUGCUGAGUGAAAGUCUGUUUUUAGUCUUUUCUCAAAAUGUACUGGGUAAAAGCAUUCAUGCUUAUGUAAAUAUAAUGAUUAAAACCUAUAAAGAGGGCUGGCUGAUCAACACUAGUGGCUGUUUUUGUAACACCCUCACACAGACAAAUAGAUUUUGAUGUGUGAACUGAGAUCCCUGAAGAAAAACUGGACUGUUGAUUUUGUUGUCUGUGUGUUUGUGCUUCAUGUGGAAAAUAAAAGAAAAAGUCAACUAAAUAAUUAGGAACCACUUGACUAUUUGGCAUUCUGACUCACUCAUCUUUCCCUUUUUCAGUAUCUGCAGGCUGUUGCCACAGACAAUAAUUUCUAAAUAAAUAAUACAGUCAUGCUGGUGUCAUGUUGUCAGCCCCGCCCACCGUGAACUCUUAUUGGUCAAAAAUCUUGCUCAGAUAUGUUCUAGCUGCGAUCUUGCAUUCUGUGUAGUGGACAAAUUGCUUGUUGCAAUAAACAAAUGCACUUUAAUGUAAUUUCAAAGGAGUUUAAAAUGGAAAUGCAUGUUUAAUGUUAUUAAAAUUUGUGUCCUAGCAACGGCGGAUGAAUUUCUGGUUAUGCAUUACAGAUGUAACUCCUAUGAGUUACUCUUCAUAUAAACAGUCCCUUUCUGGUACAUAUCAUGUUAAUGGCCUUACACGAUUUUCAUAAGAAUAUACACAGUGCUUUUCAGCAUUUAUGCCAUGUAAUGCCUUUUAGACUUCCAUCAUUAAUGCAUUAUUGUUUGUUUUUAUACUAUGAAAAACUGGCUAAAAUGAUUUUCUAUUGCAAGAGAGAACAUGUAUUGAAUCCAGAAUAUUCCUUUAACAAAAACAACACUAUCGCAGUUGAAUGCGGUUAUAUUUUACAAAUAAUUCCCAAUUCUCAUCCUAAAUUCAAACAGGAUCCACACAGAAGACCAUAGUAAUAAUUAAAUGUGGCAAUCUUAUUUCCUGCAGACAAUUUAGGUUAAAAUGAGUCAUUUAGUUCUACAGUGGACAGGCAUAUACCUUCCAUGUCAAUAGAAAUACAUCAGCAAACUCAUAACUUGUGUGAGUCAUCGCUUUUUAAAGCAGCUUUGUGUUCGAUUUUCCUUCAGGAAAUUGGAGAACAUGUGGGAAUAAGAGUAUGUUUUCAUGUUGAUAUGACAUCAUACACCUCUAAUGUGUUGGCUGUAACUCUACAAGUGACAUUUUCAAAGGCAGAUGAAUUACUCUGUGUGAUAUAUAUGCAUAAUAUGUGUCAGGUAUUUUUCUUUUUCAUAGAAGAAUAUUGAUUUUUCUUGAAAUUACAUUCAUCUGGCAUGGUGAUUGCAAAUGUGACAGCUUUACAGAAGACAACAAUAUACAGUA
ensembl:lncRNA